rnacentral:tRNA from 1 species
GCAUCGGUAGUUCAGUGGUAAAAUGCUCGCCUGCCACGCGGGUGGCCCGCGGCCGAUGCA